CUUAGCUCAGCUGGGAGAGCAUCUGCCUUACAAGCAGAGGGUCGGGGGUUCGAUCCCCUCAG
rnacentral:tRNA from 1 species